AAGCCUUGAAAGUGCAGUAAGAAAAAAGAAAAUGACACAUUGAAGAAUCAUCUAAGUCAUCACGGAGAAAGGAAAGUCAGAUUCACACAGUCAGUGCCUUCUAAAGUUUUUCCUGCUGAGUUUUGUCAAUUUUUAGUUCUGAGGUUGUCACUGCCUCCUCCCCCGACAUUCAGGGUCUCACUAUGUAGCUCUGGCUGUUCCAAGAACUCACCUUGUAGACCAGGCUGCCCUCUAACUGAAUAUAGGUCUGCCUGCCUCUGUCUCACAAGUAGGAUUAAACACAUGAGCCACGGGACCUGGCUGCUAAGUGCUUCUUAAGAGACCAGCUGGUCAUGUCUGUUAGCCAUGUCUUUAAAGUCCUCAGUAAGAGAAUUAUACAUGCACACUUUUUUUAAACCACAAAGUGCCUACAAAAGAAAGUAAAUUAAUUGAAAAAAAUUUCACAGAACAUAAAACUUUUUCUCUUUUGAUGUGCACUGGUGUUUUGCUGUAUGUCUGAGUGAAUUGUCACAUCCUGGAGUUAGACAGUUGUAGUCUGCCAUGUGGUUGCUGGGAAUUGAACUUGGGUCCCCUGGAAGAGCAGUAAGUGUUCUUGGCCACUAAGCCAUCCCUCCGGCCCACUAAAACUUCAUAUUCUGUGACAUUUUUGGAAUCACUGGAAGGGUCAUUUGUAGAUUGCUUGAUUUUCACUAAGUACAACAGACACCCAGUGAAGGACACAAGACAUCAAGUGUAUCACGGUGGAACACUGAUAUUCCUAAGGGAAAGGAAGUUCCACUGCGGCACCGUCCUUUAAUCAAAGUCAUCAGUCACUGAGUACCAGGACACAGGUAAAUACAGGAGGACAUUUCCAUGACUCGUGGGUGCCCCAAAGUUUAUUAAGUCACUAAAGUAAACAUAAAAGGAAACUCAAACCAAAAAACCGCACACCUCAGAAACAUUAACAGUUUUACUCAUUAGAAGACACCAUCAGGGCUGGGCAGGCUCUGUGGCUGGGAGUGGGAACUGCUUACCACGAACCUGAGUUUGGGUCCCAGACCAUGUGAAGUGGCUCGACCAUGUUUAACUCCACACUAGUGAGAUCAACCUAAAACUCUAACCUUGGGUAUACACACACAUAAUUAAAAAUAAACUUUGUUUCCUUGAGACAGAAUUUCUCUGUGUUAACAGUCCUGGUUGUCCUGAAACUCCCUUUAUAGACCAGGCUGGCCUCAAACUCACAAAGAUCCACCUGCCUCUGCCUUUUGAGUGCUGGGACAAAAGCCAUAAGCACCACCAUGCCUAGCUAAAAAUAAUCUUUAAAAAAAAAUCAUCUUUUAAAAAGAUACCAUUAAAACUGAAUAAGGAUUGGUGCUGGAGAGAUAGCUGAGUGGUUAAAAGCAUUGGCUGCUCUCCCAGUGCUCACAUGUCACUGUCUAUAAUGAGAUCCAAUGCCCUCUUCUGGUAUGAACAUGUACAUGCAGACAAAGCACCAAUAUCCAUAAAUAAAUAAAAUUUUAAAUAAUUAACAAUAGAAAUAAUAUGUCUUAAAAAAAAAAAACAACUGGAUAGAGAGGCUAGCGAAGAACUCAGUAGUUAAGAGUACUGGCUGUUCUUCCAAAGGGAUCUGGCCUACACAGUGGUUCACAACAAUCUGUAAGUCCAGUUCUAGGGGAUCCCCUGUCCUAGAUUCUGACACCAGGUACCCACAUACAUACAAGCAGGCAAAACACUCAUAAAAGAAAAAUGAGUAUUGUUUUGUUUUUCUGAGACAGGGCUUCUCUCUCUGUAUGUAGCACUGGCUGUCCUGGAACUUGAUCUAUAGACGAAGCUGACUGAGAACUCAGAGAUCUGCCUGCCUCUGCCUCCUGACUGCUGAGAUCAAGGUGUGUUCGAGCACUGAAGGCAGCUUGGCAGUUAGGAGAAACUGUUCCUCGUGCAAAGGACCCAGCUCGAUUUCCAGUGUUUGCAUGGCAGCGCCCAACUAUCUGCAUCUCUGGUUCCAGGGGACCCAACUCUCUCUGUGGGCACCAGACACAUGGACGGACAGAAUGGUCGCUGAACUGCAGGAAAACACCUUUAUGUCAACAACUGCAGAGAAUUGUGUAAACUGGGACAAGCUUGGGAGUCUGCAGCAGCUCUGCUGCAGUAAAGAGGAGGAGGACAUGGAGAGCAGGCCAUCCUGUGCACAUGAUGGAGAGGUCAUAUUCUGCACAUGGAGAGGUCAUAUUCUGCACAUGGAGAGCAGGCCAUACUGUGCACACGGAGAGGUCAUAUUCUGCACAUGGAGAGCAGGUCAUAUUGUGCACUCACAGUACCAGUUAAUGCACAAUGUCCUCUUAUGAACCUGGCUGCUGUUUAUACAGCUCAUUAAAGGUUUGAUAUUAAA